GCCACGGUGAAUACGUUCCCGGGCCUUGUACACACCGCCCGUCACACCAUGGGAGUGGGUUGCAAAAGAAGUAGGUAGCUUAACCUUCGGGAGGGCGCUUACCACUUUGUGAUUCAUGACUGGGGUGAAGUCGUAACAAGGUAACCGUAGGGGAACCUGCGGUUGGAUCACCUCCUUACCUUAAAGAA
rnacentral:rRNA from 3 species